CUAAGGAUAUAACGGAACCGUCACAGUUGUUUUACUUUGCUCAGUUUUGAGAGGUCUAAUCUUCUCAAACAGUAAGUUAGUUGUUCUUUGAAAACUGGAUAGUGUUUAACAUGUAAGAAAAGCAAGAAACCAAGAAAACAUCGCGUUUUAUUUUUUAAUGUAUUUCUUCACCAUGAGGUGAAUGAAGUAGUUAACAUGACCAUA
rnacentral:misc_RNA from 1 species